GUUUGUCAUCUCCCAUCUCAGCCGUGUUCUUCCUGGACAACGAGUCCGAUCUGAAUCCUUCGAUCGAUUUGCUCGAUCCGCUGCUCCUCCUGCACGCCCUUCUCCAUAUAUAUACUCCCCACGUCCGGCUUGUCCGAUAUUUCGCCAAAAUCGCAGUUUCCCGUGCCCUAGGUUGAUUUCGCGAUCUCGCUGGAGUUCCACGGCAGAAGCUCCUUCGCCAGUCGUUUCCGUCGCGCCUGAAGGGAGUCACUGAAACGAGCUCUAGAACCUCCUCCCGAAGCAGAGCACCGCCGGCGACACUCCAGCCCUUCGGCAUCGCCAACAGAGGAAGCCCCGUCGCUGUCCAACGUCACCUAACCAACCUCCGUACGCCGCCGCAUCCAUCCACCCACUCACCACCUCCGGAGACCCGCCGGAGACGCGCCACCAUCGCCGCCCGAGCCGCCGGCGUCGUUCUUCUCCAACUCCGGUGACUCCUCAACCUGAUUCCUCCGGUGAGCCGCCCUUAGCCGUCCGAUCUCCAUCCAACUGCUGAUAGUGGAUGGCAUAUGUUUUUUUUCUGCCGAACCGUUUUUUCUCUAUGUUGUGGCUGUUCGCCGUUUAAGCCUCCCAGCGGACAGCUAACAGCCAGUAGAAACCCGCCAUGUGGCACAUCCACAGCAGCCGCAGCAGUUCUUCCAGGAAAGCUGUUUUGGCACAAUUUUUGUUUUUAGAUUUCAUAUCAAAUGUUCAUUUAGGUAUAUCUUGAGAUCCGUAUAUCCAAAUUCAUAGAUUCUUUUUCCUGUAUAUUUGUACAGAUCAGGACAAUAUUCCAGAGCCAAAAUUUCACAUUUUUGAACAGUUCAAAUUUGAAUUUGUUUAAAUUUGAAUUCAAAUUUCCAGAGGCAAUAUCUUUUAAACCGUUGAUCAAAAUCAGUUGAUUCUUUUUGCAUUGUGAUCCUAUUGGCAUGUAGAUAAUAUAUACCUAUUGAUAUGUUCUGUUAUUUAAGUUUUAUUUGAAUUAUUUGUUGUUGGCUUUAUUGUGAUUGUUAUGUGAGUACGAUUUUAUUUAUCGGCGCCUUCAUUAUCGUAUAGAUUGUCCGGAGUGUGAAGCAUAUCAGAAUUAAGCGUUAGAAUACUUCAACAUCCCUCAGGCAAGUUUGCACUUUUGAUUUUGCUCAUCCUAUAUUCUACUAUGCAUGUGUGAUUUUAUAUGCGAUGACAUGUGCUUGGUUUGAUCUGUAUGUUCUCUGUUGUCAUAUUCUGAUAUUGAUUGUAUUGUGCGAUGGUGUGAUCAACUUGUUAUGGUAGACGUGGGCACGUGUUGAGUGAUGCAUGGAAGUGGUGAGUCUUUAUUGCUGUAGGCUCGAGACUUUUUCUCAGAUGAAUGCGUCAAUGGCUGAGCGCUCUAUUGUCCCUAGAGAAUGCGCCAUGGCUGAGCGCACUUGGGUUGUCGGGGCUUUUUCUCACGUGAAUGCGUCACUGGCUGAGCGCUCUAUUGUCCCUAGAGAAUGCGCCAGGACUGAGCGCACUUGAGACAUCUUGAAGGUCUUUAUCAUCUGUGUUGUUUGCACCUUGCCUAUGUCGUGGAGGUAGGUGAAGGUAGUUUUACGCGAAACCAAACUUGAGUGUUUUGUUUGUCAUGCUUUGCAGGUAGAUGUAGGUUUUCUUUAUCAUUAUGUGUAAUUUGCCAAUACAUUCAAUGUAUUGACCCUUUGUGGCUGCAACUUAUCAUGUUGCAGGAUAUUCAGGUGAUCAAUGAGAUACAGUAAGGUCGCGAGUCUUCACUCAACAUUUUCGCCAGUGGGCAUUGACGGGACUCAUCAUUUGUUAGGCUACAUUUUCGCUGUUAUUAUUGAAUAAAGCUAGCUAUGUGCUACUCAGUUUGUAAUACUUUGUAAAUUCUGGAAUAUACGUUGUAGUAAAUGAUGCACUUGUUAUUUGA